UGCAGUAUAGAUUGGCUGCAGUAGGUUCACUGUAGGAGUAGGGUAUGCACCUAUAAGGAAUCUAUCGAUCUUGAUAGAUAAGGAGAGAUCCUAUGUGAUUUAUAAGACUGAGUUCGUAAGACCUCGGUCGGAGCAGAUUGCACAAUGGAGAAAGAGUUCUCCGCUCUCGAACUUUAGUCGAAUAAAUCUUGACAUAUGACAGACGAAGGAGUUUGACGAGUUAUCUAUGACCUCCAUCCCGUAGGGAUCCACGAUAGAAGAACUGUAUCACAUGAUAACU
rnacentral:lncRNA from 1 species